CAGUUGCUUAGAGCUCAGCUACCCCACCCAUAUUUACUUCCUGUUCUGGCCAAGGAGACAAUUAAAUGCAGUUCAGUUGGGAUGAACUUGGAGUCUUACUCAUGGAAAUUAACGCAGGACUCCCAAUAAAUACAUUACCACCGGUCUUCCCCUGGAGAAGGCCUGGCUCUUGUAAAGCUCAGGCAAAUUCUUUUCCCUCUUAUAAAAGUUCUCGUGAAUUGAGAGUGGAGAGUGGGGAAUCCAUGAGGAUGCUAGAAUGCCAGUAGAGACUUUGGUCUUUUUGAUUCAAGCCAUCAUAUCUACAGGACCUACAUAUUUUCCAAGAAAAGAACAUUGAAGAGAACCAAGGUAUACAGAGGCAUAUGUAUAAAGAGAUUGAUUAUGAAGUAUUAGCUCACAUGAUUGUGGAGGCUAAUAAGCUCUAGACCUGCUGUCUGCCAGCUGAAGACCCAGGAAAGCUGGUGGGAUAGUUGUCUGAAGAACUGAGAACCAGCGCGCCGAGGGCAGAGGUACGAUGUCCCAGCUCCACCAGUCAGGCAGAGAGCAAACUCAACCUUCCUCUGCCUUUGUGUUUUAUUCAAGCCUCAGUGGACUGGAUGAUGCCCACUCACACUGGGGACAGCCAUCGGCUUUACUCAGUUCACCAAUUCAAGUGCCAAUCUCUUCUGGAAACACCCUCUCAAACACACCCAGCAAUAAUGUUUCACCAGACAUCUGGGCAUCCUGUGGUCCACUCAUGUUGACACAUAAAAUUAACCAUCACAGAUGGCAAUAAUAUGAACCAUUUUUAACACAAUUUUUGUUACUGUUUUUUAAAAUGACAUGAAAUGAGCUCUGUGUAUUUCAUGUGUUUAUUCCAAUUUAAUAAUAAUUGAUUUUAUGUUAAA